AAAAAAAAAAUAGCGAUACCGGCCGUGAUGCAAGGAAUCGGUAUAUGCGAGGCAAGGAAUGUUCUCGCAUAUAGCUCACUAUUUUUUUAUCGUUGCACUAUUCCUCCUUAUUCCGUAAACAUUAUGAGCUAAAGUCAAAAUUAAUAGAAUGAAUGACUUCCUGAGAGUCCCAAAAGAAACCGAUUUAUUUCCUUCAUCAGUUGGAAAAAAUUUAUUUAUUUAUCACUGCCAAUAUAAGAGCUCGACUUCCUAGAUGAAUAGCAUAGCUUUGAAAGUGAUUCGCAGGAUGACUCAGUAUCAAAACGAAUGGGUUAUACACUAUAUGGCUUUAGAUGUAAAUAUUCUUUAGAUGAUAUAUUAAGAGAAUUAAUAACUGCAUCGACAUACAGCCAAUGCAGAAUCAUUUAUAAGUCACUGAACCUUCAGAAUAGCGCAACGUGGAUUUCGCUACUUUA